rnacentral:rRNA from 1 species
AUUGAACGCUGGCGGCAUGCUUUACACAUGCAAGUCGAACGGCCGCGCGGGCCUCGGCCUGGCGGCGAGUGGCGAACGGGUGAGUAAUUAAUCGGAACGUGCCCAGUAGUGGGGGAUAGCUCGGCGAAAGGCGGAUUAAUACCGCACCCGACCUGAGGGUGAAAGCGGGGGAUCUUAGGUCCUCGCGCGUUUGGCUGGGCCGUUGGCAGAUUUGCUCGUUGGUGGGGUAAAGGCCUACCAAGGCGACGAGCUGUAGCUGGUCUGAGAGGACGACCAGCCAAACUGGGACUGAGACACGGCCCAGACUCCUACGGGAGGCAGCAGUGGGGAAUUUUGGACAAUGGGCGAAAGCCUGAUCCAGCAAUGCCGCGUGUGUGAUGAAGGCCUUCGGGUUGUAAAGCACUUUUGGCGGGAACGAAAAGGACUGUGCCAAUACCACGGUUCGAUGACGGUACCCGCAGAAUAAGCACCGGCUAACUACGUG